rnacentral:rRNA from 1 species
AUACGUAGGGAGCGAGCGUUGUCCGGAAUGACUGGGUGUAAAGGGAGCGUAGGCGGGAUGGCAAGUCAGAUGUGAAACCUGAGGGCUCAACCUUCAGACUGCAUUUGAAACUGCUGUUCUUGAGUGAAGUAGAGGUAAGCGGAAUUCCUGGUGUAGCGAUGAAAUGCGUAGAGAUCAGGAGGAACAUCGGUGGCGAAGGCGGCUUACUGGGCUUUUACUGACGCUGAGGCUCGAAAGCGUGGGGAGCAAACAGGAUUAGAUACCCUGGUAGUCCACGCUGUAAACGAUGAUUACUAGGUGUGGGGGGAUUGACCCCUUCCGUGCUGCAGUUAACACAAUAAGUAAUCCACCUGGGGAGUACGACCGCAAGGUUGAA